rnacentral:rRNA from 2 species
UGGUGGGUAGUUUGACUGGGGCGGUCUCCUCCCAAAGAGUAACGGAGGAGCACGAAGGUUGGCUAAUCCUGGUCGGACAUCAGGAGGUUAGUGCAAUGGCAUAAGCCAGCUUGACUGCGAGCGUGACGGCGCGAGCAGGUGCGAAAGCAGGUCAUAGUGAUCCGGUGGUUCUGAAUGGAAGGGCCAUCGCUCAACGGAUAAAAGGUACUCCGGGGAUAACAGGCUGAUACCGCCCAAGAGUUCAUAUCGACGGCGGUGUUUGGCACCUCGAUGUCGGCUCAUCACAUCCUGGGGCUGAAGUAGGUCCCAAGGGUAUGGCUGUUCGCCAUUUAAAGUGGUACGCGAGCUGGGUUUAGAACGUCGUGAGACAGUUCGGUCCCUAUCUGCCGUGGGCGCUGGAGAAUUGAGGGGGGCUGCUCCUAGUACGAGAGGACCGGAGUGGACGCAUCACUGGUGUUCGGGUUGUCAUGCCAAUGGCACUGCCCGGUAGCUAAAUGCGGAAGAGAUAAGUGCUGAAAGCAUCUAAGCACGAAACUUGCCCCGAGAUGAGUUCUCCCUGAGACUUUAAGUCUCCUGAAGGAACGUUGAAGACGACGACGUUGAUAGGUCGGGUGUGUAAGCGCAGCGAUGCGUUGAGCUAACCGAUACUAAUGAACCGUGAGGCUUAACCUU